UUUGAUCAUGGCUCACCAUUGAACGCUGGCGGCAGAGCCUAACACAUGCAAGUCGAACGGUAACAGGAAGCAGCUUGCUGCUUCGCUGACGAGUGGCGGACGGGUGAGUAAUGUCUGGGAAACUGCCUGAUGGAGGGGGAUAACUACUGGAAACGGUAGCUAAUACCGCAUAACGUCGCAAGACCAAAGAGGGGGACCUUCGGGCCUCUUGCCAUCGGAUGUGCCCAGAUGGGAUUAGCUAGUAGGUGGGGUAACGGCUCACCUAGGCGACGAUCCCUAGCUGGUCUAGAGAGGAUGACCAGCCACACUGGAACUGAGACACGGUACCAGACUCCUACGGGAGGCAGCAGUGGGGAAUAUUGCACAAUGGGCGCAAGCCUGAUGCAGCCAUGCCGCGUGUAUGAAGAAGGCCUUCNGGUUGUAACAGUACUUUCAGCGGGGAGGAAGGCGAUAAGGUUAACUAACCUUGUCAGAUUGACGUUACCCGCAGAAGAAGCACCGGCUAACUCCGUGCCAGC
rnacentral:rRNA from 1 species